rnacentral:rRNA from 1 species
AUUGAACGCUGGCGGCAUGCCUUACACAUGCAAGUCGAACGGCAGCACGGGAGCAAUCCUGGUGGCGAGUGGCGAACGGGUGAGUAAUAUAUCGGAACGUGCCCAGUCGUAGGGAUAACGUAGCGAAAGCUACGCUAAUACCGCAUACGAUCUACGGAUGAACGCGGGGGGAUCGCAAGACCUCGCGCGAUUGGAGCGGCCGAUAUCAGAUUAGGUAGUUGGUGAGGUAAAGGCUCACCAAGCCGACGAUCUGUAGCUGGUCUGAGAGGACGACCAGCCACACUGGGACUGAGACACGGCCCAGACUCCUACGGGAGGCAGCAGUGGGGAAUUUUGGACAAUGGGCGCAAGCCUGAUCCAGCAAUGCCGCGUGCAGGAUGAAGGCCUGGUGUAA